rnacentral:rRNA from 1 species
UACAGAGGGUGCGAGCGUUGUCCGGAAUCACUGGGCGUAAAGGGCGCGUAGGCGGUCUCUUAAGCGUGUGGUGAAAGCCCGGGGCUCAACUCCGGGUCGGCCGUGCGAACUGGGGGACUGGAGCUUGUCAGAGGCAUGCGGAAUUCCGGGUGUAGCGGUGGAAUGCGUAGAGAUCCGGAAGAACACCGGUGGCGAAGGCGGCCUGCUGGGACAGUGCUGACGCUGAGGCGCGACAGCGUGGGGAGCAAACAGG